AAAGCGUGCGCAGGCGGUUUUGUAAGUCAGAUGUGAAAUCCCCGAGCUCAACUUGGGAACUGCGUUUGAAACUACAAGACUAGAAUAUGUCAGAGGGGGGUAGAAUUCCACGUGUAGCAGUGAAAUGCGUAGAGAUGUGGAGGAAUACCAAUGGCGAAGGCAGCCCCCUGGGAUAAUAUUGACGCUCAUGCACGAAAGCGUGGGGAGCAAACAGGAUUAGAUACCCGUGU
rnacentral:rRNA from 1 species